rnacentral:lncRNA from 1 species
CCGUGACUCUCCCUGAACGCCUCUGCCUCAAAGACUACACUUCCCAUUGACCCCUGCAGUGACUUCCGCGUCUGGCGUCAGCGGCCCUGCGACGGGCGGUAGUGACGUGUCAGAGGAGCUCGAUUUUUGCUUGUGGUCCUGGCUGGCGGUUUCUGUACCAGACUUCUUCUUGGUUUAUUCUUGCUGCAGCUGUGGGGUUGGAUACCUGCGCCCGUACUCUGGAAAGACCAAAAGAAGAGACAAUAACAGGAAAAUACUUCCUCUACAGCAUCACUUGCUUUGAGGAUAAUAAAACAAUGCUAUCUCCCAAGAACCGUGAGCUGGGCUGGGGAUGUGGCUCAAGCGGUAGCGCUCUCGCCUGGCAUGCGUGCGGCCUGAAUUCAAUCCUCAGCACCACAUACCAACAAAGAUGUUGUGUCCGCCGAGAACCGUGAGCUUUGGAUAACCCUAAUAGGCAAAACUUUUGGGGUUCUAGCUGAAGAAUUUUCCUGGCCUCUGAUAAAUGGAACAUCUUACUCUUGUAGAAACAAUUCUAUGGAUUCAUUUGAUCUACCCAUUGGGCUAGCUUUCAAUCGUUAAUGAACACAUAGCCAUAAUGAAACGUUCCACUUCUAGCAUUUUAAAAUACCCCAAUGAACAAUUCAAGAAACUUUUUCAGUGAUGUGUGUAAUAAAUUUAAUCUAUUCUAUAUAAACUGGAAUUUG